rnacentral:rRNA from 1 species
AUAACUCUCGUCAAUGAAUCUCUCAACUCCCGCAUCGAUGAAGAACAUAGUAAAAUACGAUACUUGGUGUGAAUUAUAGAAUCUUGUGAGCCAUCAAGUCUUUGAAUGCAAGUUGCACCCCAAGCCAUUAGGCUGAGGGCAUGCCUACCUAGGUGUCAUGCAUCAUUGCCCUCUCCAACCCCCUGCUCAUCAGUCUCUGUGUGAGGGGGUGAAAGAUGGUCUCCCAUUAUUUCAUUAAUCGUGGUAAGCCCAAAAAUGGGUCCCUGGCAAUGAUAGCACUGUGACCAUCGAUGGUAAAGCUCCCAAUGAGUCUCAUCUCUAAUGAUGCAUGCUUAUUGUCCAUUCGAACCCUAUCGAACCCACCCACAUCGCUCGAUCGAUGCUUGCAUCAUGACCCUAGGUCAAGUAAGAUCACCUACUAAGUUUAAGUAUAUAAUAAGUGAAAGAAAAAAAACUUACCAGGAUUCCCUUUAGCAAUGGUGAACAAACUAAGAAAAGCCUAGCUUGAGAAUCCGGUGCCCUCAACAUCUGAAUUGUAGUAUAGAGAAGCAUCCUUAAUGGUAUAUUGGGCCCAAGUCUCCUGAAAAGAGGCAUCGGAGAGGGUGAGAGCCCUAUUAUGCUUAGACCCUAUUGCACCAUAAGGCAUUGUCUACAAGUCAGGUUGUUUGGGAAUGCAGCCAUAAAAAGGGUGAUAAAUUCCAUCCAAGGCUGAAUAUAGGCAAAAGAUCGAUAGCAAACAAGUACUACGAGGGAAAGAUAAAAAAAACUUUGAAAAGAGUGUCAAAGAGUGCUUGAAAUUGUUAGAAAGAAAAUAGAUAGGGGCUGACAAUACACCCCAGUCGGAUGUGGAAUGGUGAGACCUGGUCCAACAAUUACCUCAGGGUAUAGACCAAUCGGGUUAUACUGGUGGCCCAAGCCCAGCCUUUCAAUAUGCCCAUAAAGACAUCAUCACCACGAUCAUGGAAUGCAACACAUGCCAUCUUAAUGUGCAUUGACACUAGUGUGCUCUUGGCAUAAGCCUACAAGCUCCCUAUUCGGCCUGUCUUAAAACAUGGAUCAAAGGGUCUGGCAUGUGUGUGAGUCAACAUGCUAAAAAACCCAUAAAGCGUAAGGAAGCUAAUUGGUGAGAUCCCUUACGGGUGCACCACUGACUAACUUUGAUCUUUUGAGAAGGAUUCGAGUGUGAGCAUGCUUGUUGGGACCCAAAAGAUGGUGAAUUAUGCCUAAAUAGGGUGAAGUCAAAAGAAACUUUAGUGGAGGCCUAUAAUGAUACUGACAUGCAAAUCAUUCAUCUGACUUGGGUAUAAGGGUGAAUGACUAAUCGAAUCAUCUAGUAGCUGGUUCCCUCCAAAGUUUCCCCUAAGAUAGCUAGAGCCCUUAGUGAGUUCUAUCAAGUAAAGCCAACGAUUAGAGGCAUCAGAGGCACAAUGCCUUUAACCUAUUCUUAAACCUUAAAUAGGGAAGACAGUAUGGCUACUUUGUUGAGCUGCACCAUAAAAUCGAGAGCUUCAAGUAGGCUAUUUUUGGUAAGUAGAAUGAUAAUGUGAUAUGAACUAAAAAUUAGGUUACGAUGCCUAAAGCACACUAACCUAGAACCUGUAAAAGGUGUUGGUCAAUUAAGAUAACAAGACGAUGGUCAUGAAAGUCAAAAUUUGCUAAAGAGUGCCUAACAACUCAUCUGCCGAAUCAACUAGCCUUGAAACUAGAUGAAGCUUAAACGUAUGACUUAUACCUAAUCAUCGAGGCAAGAGCUAGGCCCCAAUGAGUAAAAAGUCACAAUAGUCAUUGCAAAGCAUAGGGCAUAAGCCUAGGUGGAGUGAAUAUUGAUGCAGAUUUGGUGGUAGUAGCAAAUAUUCAAAUGAGAACUUUGAAGGCCAAAAAGGGGAAAGGUUCCAUGUGAAUAGCACUUGUACAUGGGUUAGUUGAUCCGAAGAGAUGGGGUAAUCCCAUCCUAUAGCGCAUCUAGCAUGAGCUUUAAAAAGAAAUUAGGUUAAAAUUAUUGAAUUGAAAUGUGGUGGUUGACAACAAUGUUAUGGAGUCCUGAGAUGUCGAUGAGGGCCUCGAAAAGAGUUAUCUUUACUAUUUAACGACCUGCCCACCCUAAAAAUGGCUCAACUAGAGGUAGGGUCUAGUAGUCAAAAGAGUAUCGCACAUCAUGUGGUGUUUGGUGCACCCCCACAGCCCUUGAAAGUUUAGAGGAUUGAGUGCUAUCUAUGCUCGAUUGUACUCAUAGCCACAUCAAGUCUACAAGGUGAAUAGCAUUUGGUCGAUGAAACAAUGUAGGCAAAGGAAGUUGGCAAAAUGGAUUCGUAACCUCAAGAAAAAGAUUGACCCUAAGUGCUAAGCAUAGGCGUCAGCUGUUGGUGGACUGCUUGAGCUACUCCCAUGGUUAGAUUAGGUUGCCAAAUGCCGACAGGGGAAGAGACUAGGAAUGGCUCCCUCAAGCCUUCCCCGAGUGAUGAGUAAUUGACUCAAAAUUGGUAUGGACAAGGGGAAUCCAACUGUUUAAUUAAAAGAAAGCAUUGUGGUGGUCUUUGCGAAUGCUCAUGCAAUGUGAUUUAUGCCCGAUGCUUUGAAUGUUAAAGUGAAGAAAUUCAACUAAGUAUGGGUAAAUGGUAAGAGUAACUAUGACUCUCUUAAGGUAGCCAAAUGCCUCGUCAUCUAAUUAGUGACAUGCAUGAAUGGAUUAAUAAGAUUCCCACUAUCCAUGUCUACUAUCUAGCAAAACCACAACCAAGAGAAUGGGCUUGAUAGAAUCGGUAGAGGUAGAAGACCUAUUCAACUUGACUUUAGUCUGACUUUGUGAAAUGACUUGAGAGGUGUAGAAUAAGUGGAAGUCCUCGAGUAAAAUUGAAAUACCACUCAUUUUAAUGUUAUUUUACUUAUUUUAUGAAUUGAAGGCAGGGCAUAACCCAUUGUUUUAGACCUGAGGUCAGCCUCGAUCAAUCAAUCCAGGCAGAAAACAAUGUCAAAUUGAGAGUUUGGCUUGGGUGGCAGAUCUAUUAAAAGAUAAUGUAGGUGUCCUAAGAUGAGUUCAACGAGAACAAAAAAUCUUGUGUGGAACCAAAAGGGUAAAAGCUUAUUUGAUUAUGAUUUCUAGUACAAAUAUGAACUGUGAAAGCAUGGCCUAUCUAUCCUUUAGACCUUUAAAAUUGGAAGCUACAUGUGUCAGAAAAGUUACCAUAGUGAUCACUAGCUUGUGGCAGCUAAGCAUUCAUAGUGCCAUUACUUUUUUAUCCUUCGAUUUUAGCUAUUCCUAUCAUUGUGAAGUAGAAUUUACCAAGUGUUGGAUUGUUCACCUACUAAUAAAGAAUGUAAGCUAGGUUUAGAUUGUCAUGAGAUAGGUUAGUUUUACCCUACUGAUGGUAGCAUCGCAAUAGUAAUUCAACCUAGUGUAAGAAGAACUGUUGAUUCACACAAUUGGCUAUCACACUUAGUUGAAAAGCCAGUGGCACAAAGCUACCUUGCAUUGGAUUAUAACUAAAUACCUCUAAGUUAAAUCUAGGCUAGAAGCAAUACAUGUGCCCAUUACCAUAUUGCUGACUUGCAAUAAGGGCUUGUGGCCCCUAAGGGCAUGUGUCAUAGGUGCAGCCCCCACAGUGGACAAUUUGUGCGAGCUUUUUCGGAGCUCAUUUCUCAUUGAGCGACGAGUAAAAUCU